rnacentral:tRNA from 1 species
GAAUAAUUAACAUAUGUGAAUAAAUGUGUAUAUUUUGAAAAUAUAAAAAAAAUUUGAAUUAAUUUAUUAUUCU